GUCCAGGUAGUUUAGUUGGUAGAGCACCUGUACGUGGUGAGCGAAGCUAGCAUUAACUGGCAGGUGGUCGCAGGAUCGAAGCCUGCCUGGGAUU